CAUGAUUGAUUCUUCCCUUUUCUUGGAAAUUGAUGCUUUUCCCAACAACAACAGCACAGAUUAGAGACCAUUAAAGCAAAGCAAAGGCUGUUGAUAUUUGAUAAGCACAACAAUGACCCUCAGAUAUAAUGUGUAACAGGUACAGUAUGCUUGAUCAAGGUCUUGUUAAGGAAUUGGCGUUUUCAUUUUGGCUGAACUAUAACCCAUAGGAAGAGAAUGGGGGCGAACUUAUUUUUGGAGGUGUUGAUCCUAAUCACUACAAGGGAAAGCACACUUAUGUGCCUGUGUCAAGAAAAGGAUAUUGGAAGUUUGAUAUGGGAAAUAUACUUAUUGGAGACAAAAAUUAAAACUGGAAUUUGUGCUGACAGCUAUUCAGCUAUUGCAGACUCAGGGACUUCUUUGUUGGCAGGUCCAACGGUAUGAAUAAAAUAAG